AAAAUAAUUCAGCGUUAUGCUUUCUCUGCCUGUUGCUGGAAAAUGAGGCCACAAAUAAGUUUAACAGACUUGAACUCUGCAACCUUUUGGAAAUAUACAUUUAAGUACAGCAAAACCAUUCACGAGCUGGUAGUUUCCCAUCUGCACCACUGCAAUUCAGUCUAUGUGGGACUGACAUUGGGUCUGGUUUGGAAGCUGCAGCUAGUGCAGAAUGCCACAGUGACCCUUUGUGCAGGGGUAGCUCACCAUCAACAUAUAACAUGGGAGUCAAAAGCUAUGAACUGGCUGCUGAUACAUUACUGAACCACUUUUGAAGUACUUGUUUUGACAUAUAAAGUCCUAGUUUGUGCCUUUGUCAUUUUCGUGUGAGCUGCUUGGACAUCUUUGCUGCUGCAAGUUGCGACAUGGCAUCAUGAAUAGGGUAAAAGAAAAACAGAUGUAAAGUUGUCUGUUUUGGCACACCACUGCUAGAGAACGCCAAAGUAACCUGUGUUGAAGCAGGGGUCCCAGUUCCACUCCCUGCCCUCCCAAUAGAUAACAUCAACAUAAGUAAUGGAAUGAACAAUUAAUGCUAUAAAUGCAGGUGCGGGCAGCAUCCCUGUUCUUGCUCAAGAUAAGAGGAGACACAAGGUGUCUCCCCCACCCCCACUAUAUGUUUAGUUAGGGAGUUGAUCUCUAACUAAACCUCCCUGCUCCCAAACUAAGUCAGGAUCAGAUUCAGGGUGCAGUUUAUGAGUGUUCUGCAGGUUGAUCUAGGGAUGGACUGCAGCUGUGUCCCAGGUCACAGAGGCUGUGCACAGCCCCAUUUUUUAAAAAUGACCAUUGUAGAUGGUUGUAAACUGUUUAGAGGUCUUCUUUCAGGUAAGUCACAUUUGUAUAUUUUUUAAAAAAAUCAAUAACUGACUAAUAAAUAAGGGCUAAUCACUCAAGCAUUUGACCAAGUCAGGCAUCCCCAACCUUUGGCCCUCCAGAUGUUUUGGCCUACAACUCUCAUGAUCCCUAGCUAACAGGACCAGUGUCAGGGAUGAUGGGAAUUGUAGUCCAAAACAUCUGGAGGGCCGAAGGUUGGGGGUGCCUGGACUAAGUGAUGUUCUUUGCCUGUUUGAUGCUGGGCCAUAUAGUCUUGUUGUUGCUUUUUAAAUUUAAGUUGUUUUAAAAUGAAUUAUUAGGGACACGGGUGGCGCUGUGGGUUAAACCACAGAGCCUAGGACUUGCUGAUCAGAAGGUCAGCGGUUCAAAUCCCUGCGACAGGGUGAGCUCCUGUUGCUUGGUCCUUGCUCCUGCCAACCUAACAGUUCGAAAGCACGUCAAAGUGCAAGUAGAUAAAUAGGUUCUGCUCCGGCGGGAAGGUAAACGGCAUUUCCAUGUGCUGCUCUGGUUUGCCAGAAGUGGCUUAGUCAUGCUGGCCACAUGACCUGGAAACUGUACACCAGCUCCCUCAACCAAUAAAGCGAGAUGAGCGCCACAACCCCAGAGUCGGCCAUGACUGGACCUAAUGGUCAGGGGUCCCUUUACCUUUACCUAAAUGAAUUAUUGUUUUAAUGUACCAUAUUUCAAUGUUUUCACUCACUUUGAGGUUUUGUGAACAGCUAAGAGCAGUAUGCAUAUACAUAAUUCAAACAAACAAACAAUGUAUAUUUUUGAUAAAGAAAUUGAUUGGGCAUGCAGAUCCAUCGUCCCAAACUUGCAGAAUCCUCACAGGGUACUGUCUGUUGUUUUGUUUGGAUUUAAAUAAGUUUUUCAAAGAAGUGCAUUGGUUUAAAUGGUGCUGAAAUGUAGGGAUGGACAGAUCUCAGCCCCUCUCAGCUUUACAUUUACAUUUUAGGAAUUCAUUCAGACAGAGAACUCUUAAGUGAUUGUGGUAGAUUAAAUCAUCUUUCCUUAUGUGUAACAAGAAUGAUAGCUUUUGUCCUCAUGUGUUGUGAUAAGGGCCAUUAUGUUAAUUACAAUGACUGACAUGUUACUGGAUAUGAAAUCAAGGAUCGUGAUGAUGGUUGAAGAACACUUCUUUAAAAAAGAUGAAAGGGGGGGAUGUCUUAGAGUGAUGUGAUACUGCUUCACCCAUUACAAGUCUUCCUCAGAAGUGUCACUUGCAACUGGAGACAGAAUACUGAGCUAGUAAACAUAUGCUAAAAGCUUAGGUUUCUUUUUUCCCCUGGCGAAAAAUUUCAAUGGACAGAAAUUAAUUUCCUAUUUAAGGUUUAAUUAAAGAAAUGAGGAAAUUACAGCUUUAAUGUACAGCGUAGCCACCUUAGGAACCUCAGGAAACCUUUACAAAUCUAUAUAUGUGUAUUUGUUUAUUUAAUAGAUCAACUUCACCGCCCUACCAAUUUAGAUGUUUGUGAAUUACAACUGCUGCAAUUAUCCCAAAAGGCAAUUUUAAGAGACUGCAGAUAAUCUACAAUGAAUAUCUCCAAACUUUUCCUCCACCACAAAAAGGCUGCUUAAAGGAAUCUUGUUCAAAUUCCCUAAAAUAUUGCAUGUGCCCUAAUGUUAAAAAGUGUGUCUGUACUGAGUCUAAACUUGCUGUUUUUGACACUAGCAAAGAUGACCCAGAUUAUAGUGUAUGUUGACUAAGGAUAUCCCAAUUUCUUGCCCUUGGGUUCUGUGAUUUUUAAUUAUAAUCUGAAAAGCAUGACCUUGAAACAUUUAUACAUAGAUUAUACAUACAUUUCUAGCUUUUAUUUCUAUACAGCUCAAAGAAACAACACAACAGAUAUAUAAUCCCUGAGAAAUACCUUAGGGAAAUAGGGCUGUGUGUGUUUUUGGUGGUGAUAUCUGUGAGCUGCCUCAGCAUGGUAGAUAAUUUACAUUCGCUGACAGUCCAGGGGAACUGGACACAAUGUCUUUCUCUCUUUUGACAACAAAAUACAAAUAAAAUGGUGGCCAGACCCAAAUUACAGAGUUUUUAGAUCAAUAAUUCUCUAGCGCACGUCAACUGCAGUAAUUACCUUGCCUGCUAAUUGCAUUAAGGAAAGGUCCUUUUCUCAGAAACAAAUUACUUGCACACACAGAUUGGAAUUAUAGGUAUUUAUUAUCCACCACGCAACCAACAUGUUUGCAGUUCGGUUGUAAACUGGGAAUUUAAUCUGAUCAGAAAUGGAGCAGAUGAGAAAGAUGCAGAUUUACCCAAAAUAAUAACAUAUAAAAGAUCUGCCUAUCACACAUGGUUCUGUACUUCCAAGAUGAAACUUUUCAAUGUGAAAUGGCUGGCUUUCUGUAUCUUUCUUAUUUACAUGGAUUAGAAAGUUGUGGUGGGGUGAAUUUUGAUUUGAAUUGUGAACAGAGGUCAGAAAUGACAAGGCAGAGACCAUGAGCUGGGUGAAACUAGGGUCACUUCAUUUUAACAAAAGGAGAUUUGAAUGGGAAAAGACUGGGCUGAAAACUAUUAUUGUGGUUCAAGGACCCAAUCCCUGCUUGGUGGAAUGAAGACACACGGACAUGUAAUAUAAGGUUAAUGGGCAAGAAAAGGCCACAACUUUAUUGAUUACAGCAAGUGAAAGGUAUUGGCUUAGGCAUUGGAUCUCUAAAACACGUGGGUUUAUUCACCAGUAGGUGGAGCCUGUUGAUGCUAAUCCAACUAUAAGCUCUCCCCUGAUGUCACCGAGGGUUGUGCCAUGGCCCCCUGCCACACAGGCAUCGGACAGGAUACACGACUGCCGGAUUCCUUUAACGGAAUACCCAAAAAUUGAAGGUGUAGGCGAUGGUCACACAUAGCCCUUCCACACACCACAAAGACAUUAUUCCAAUGCCUAACUUACCCACCAAUACCAUGAAAGUUGUGACGGUUGCUACGAGGUAGGCGAAAAAACCACAAAGCCUAAUGCCAAAUGGAAAAAUUCCUACCAGGCCCCCUGGACAACCUGGGCGACCAACCUAAGGUCCAUAGCAAGGCCAAGAGAAAAACUGAAACCCUGAGCUCUAAGGGAGUGGAGGGUGGGUGACUCGCGAUGGGACAGCGAAAAGUGAGGCCACGUGGCUGGCACAGCAGCAAGUUAAGCUGCUGUCCACGCCCCUUCCAAGCCACCUGGUUGGGCACUUGCUCGUGGGCGUGGUGUGCCAGCCAGGUGAGUGGGUGGCAGGGGGCCAAUGCCCCCUGCUUGAGGUGGAGAUCGGAUCCCGCCCACAACCCCUCUCCUCUUGCAGGAGGAGAGUCUUUCUCUAAAAGGCUACUGAGCCUGGUGUUAUUGGGCAAGCCUAGCCUGCCUGGUGGAGAUGUGGUAAUAAUACCAUGCCCUCCCUCAGAUCGCACCUCUUUGGGGGAUGUGGGAGGGCUUUCUGCCCACCGAGUGGCCCACAUCUGUAAGAAGGGGAUACAAGUUACCCUGCCAAUGGGUCCCCAAAUCUCAAGACUCACCUGCGAAAAGUUCCCCAGGGUGUUCAUCUGUUCUUCCUUCUUAGUACCUUUCAUACAUAUCCCUGCCAAAAUGACCAAUAAAACAAAAAAAAUCAACCUAUUGAAUUUACUGGUACCCCACUAAUUGCUCCUCUACUGGUCAACAGUACAAAGUAAGUGCAAAACUGAUAUGAGACCAACUAUCUAUCUCCUACUCUGCUUCAUUAGGUGACCAACUCUGCCUUUCAAGGAGGAUGGGAUAGCUGCUACCCAAGCACUGAAGAAUCAAGAACUGGACAAUAUCCGCUUAAACAACUUGGCUUGGCUCUGUCCAUCACUGAUGCUGAUGUGACACACGCCCACACAUUGCAUCCUUGUCUUCCCCCUUCUUGACCCAAUCCCACAGACAAACAAGUCUCAGUUUGGACACCAGAAGAGCAAGGUGGAGGGACAGCAUUCUGUGCUUUGAUUAUUUUAUUUUAGCCUUAGAGAAGGAAUACUUCCAACUAUGCUUGAUUUGCUAAGAGGGGAAGGUUGCUAUUUUCCCCCCCAACAGUUAUUGGGUCAAUAGAAGAUUUCUCUACCUCUUUGCUUCUUGUCUUGGCUGAUUGUACAUGAUACUACUCAUUUACCAUGAAGUAAAUUCAACUGAGUUUAUGUG